rnacentral:rRNA from 1 species
AUUGAACGCUGGCGGCAGGCCUAACACAUGCAAGUCGAGCGAGCGGCGGACGGGUGAGUAAUGUCUGGGAAACUGCCUGAUGGCGGGGGAUAACUACUGGAAACGGUAGCUAAUACCGCAUACCAUCAGAUGUGCCCAGUUGGGAUUAGCUAGUAGGUGGGGAAACGGCUCACAUAGGCGACGAUCCCUAGCUGGUCUGAGAGGAUGACCAGCAACACUGGAACUGAGACAAGGUCAAUACUCCUACGGGAGGCAGCAGUGGGGAAUAGUGCACAAGGGGCGAAAGCCUGAUGCAGCAAUGCAGCGGUAGUGAAGAAGGCCUUCGGGUUGUAAAGCACUUUCAGCGGGGAGGCGUUACCCGAAGAAGAAGCACCGGCUAACUACGUGCCAGCAGCCGCGGUAAUAC